UCUUCCCCAACAACCCUUGGCCAACAUUCUUCUCACUACUAUGGAUAUCUCUCAACUUUCAUUUGUUUAUUGUUGAUUCGAUCCCAUCGCAUGCGAGGCUCAAUCUAAGAGGGUGUUACAGAAGUUGAAUUUGAAUCACCCAAAAUGGUGGCCGAAAAUUUGCGUCGACAAAACCGGAACUUGAAGUAUGUCAUUUUGUGUUUAUGUGCCGUUGUCUGGCUUCUUAUCUAGAUUAUAAUAGUCCAGCUUAUGUAAUGUAGUAAGAACUAUGAAUAGACUUUGGCUUAUGCAAUUUUCAAGUGUAGCCUAGAAAUGUAAUAUACAGUAAUUGUGGCUGGAAAUUGUGCCAUGCUAUAUCUAGGAUAUUAAAUUAAAGUUCUCAUGUAUCCUCAAAACAUGAUUUAUUAUGUUGUUUUGGUGUUCA